rnacentral:rRNA from 1 species
AUUGAACGCUGGCGGCAGGCCUAACACAUGCACGUCGAACGAGUGGCGGACGGGUGAGUAAUGUCUGGGAAACUGCCCGAUGGAGGGGGAUAACUACUGGAAACGGUAGCUAAUACCGCAUACCAUCGGAUGUGCCCAGAUGGGAUUAGCUUGUCGGUGAGGUAACGGCUCACCUAGGCGACGCUCCCUAGCUGGUCUGAGGGGAUGACCAGCCAGACUGGAACUGAGAAACGGUCCAGAAUCCGACGGGAGGCCGCAGUGGGGAAUAUUGCACAAUGGGCGCAAGCGGGAUGCAGCCAGGCCGCGUGUAUGAAGAAGGACGUCGGGUUGUAAAGUACUUUCAGCGGGGAGGCGUUACCCGCAGAAGAAGCAACGGCUAACUCCGUGCAAGCAGCCGCGGUAAUUC